rnacentral:rRNA from 1 species
GAUCAUGCUCAGGACGAACGCUGGCGGCGUGCUUAACACAUGCAAGUCGAACGAGAAUCUACUGAAAGAGUUUUCGGACAAUGGAAGUAGAGGAAAGUGGCGGACGGGUGAGUAACGCGUGAGGAACCUGCCUUGAAGAGGGGGACAACAGUUGGAAACGACUGCUAAUACCGCAUGACGCAUAGAGGUCGCAUGAUCUUUAUGCCAAAGAUUUAUCGCUUCAAGAUGGCCUCGCG